rnacentral:rRNA from 1 species
GGAUUAGAUACCCUGGUAGUCCACGCCGUAAACGAUGUCAACUAGCCGUUGGGAGCCUUGAGCUCUUAGUGGCGCAGCUAACGCAUUAAGUUGACCGCCUGGGGAGUACGGCCGCAAGGUUAAAACUCAAAUGAAUUGACGGGGGCCCGCACAAGCGGUGGAGCAUGUGGUUUAAUUCGAAGCAACGCGAAGAACCUUACCAGGCCUUGACAUCCAAUGAACUUUCUAGAGAUAGAUUGGUGCCUUCGGGAACAUUGAGACAGGUGCUGCAUGGCUGUCGUCAGCUCGUGCCG